AGUGAACGCUGGCGGUAGGCCUAACACAUGCAAGUCGAACGGCAGCACAGUAAGAGCUUGCUCUUACGGGUGGCGAGUGGCGGACGGGUGAGGAAUACAUCGGAAUCUACUUUUUCGUGGGGGAUAACGUAGGGAAACUUACGCUAAUACCGCAUACGACCUACGGGUGAAAGCAGGGGAUCUUCGGACCUUGCGCGAUUGAAUGAGCCGAUGUCGGAUUAGCUAGUUGGCGGGGUAAAGGCCCACCAAGGCGACGAUCCGUAGCUGGUCUGAGAGGAUGAUCAGCCACACUAGAACUGAGACACGGUCCAGACUCCUACGGGAGGCAGCAGUGGGGAAUAUUGGACAAGGGGCGCAAGCCUGAUCCAGCCAUACCGCGUGGGUGAAGAAGGCCUUCGGGUUGUAAAGCCCUUUUGUUGGGAAAGAAAAGCAGCAGGUUAAUACCCCGCUGUUCUGACGGUACCCAAAGAAUAAGCACCGGCUAACUUCGUGC
rnacentral:rRNA from 1 species